rnacentral:lncRNA from 1 species
CCCUAGAGUCAGUAACUCCCCAGAUUAGGUAAAGGCUGAAGAGUCAUUUGGUGGUCAAAGUGCAGGAGUGACUCAAGUCACUGUGGUGAUUCAGGAACAGCUCUGGCAGCCCAUCCAUCUUGUCCUCUCCACAGAAGCCGACAUCUGCUGUCUCUCUCCAGGGCUCCACCACACUCAGCUCUCAUCCCACA